AGUGAACGCUGGCGGUAGGCCUAACACAUGCAAGUCGAACGGCAGCACAGUAAGAGCUUGCUCUUACGGGUGGCGAGUGGCGGACGGGUGAGGAAUACAUCGGAAUCUACUUUUUCGUGGGGGAUAACGUAGGGAAACUUACGCUAAUACCGCAUACGACCUACGGGUGAAAGCAGGGGAUCUUCGGACCUUGCGCGAUUGAAUGAGCCGAUGUCGGAUUAGCUAGUUGGCGGGGUAAAGGCCCACCAAGGCGACGAUCCGUAGCUGGUCUGAGGGGAUGAUCAGCCACACUGGAACUGAGACACGGUCCAGACUCCUACGGGAGGCAGCGGUGGGGAAUAUUGGACAAUGGGCGUAAGCCUGAUCCAGCCAUACCGCGUGGGUGAAGAAGGCCUUCGGGUUGUAAAGCCCUUUUGUUGGGAAAGAAAAGCAGCAGGUUAAUACCCCGCUGUUCUGACGGUACCCAAAGAAUAAGCACCGGCUAACUGCGU
rnacentral:rRNA from 1 species